GAUGAACGCUGGCGGCGUGCCUAAUACAUGCAAGUCGAGCGAACAGACGAGGAGCUUGCUCCUCUGACGUUAGCGGCGGACGGGUGAGUAACACGUGGAUAACCUACCUAUAAGACUGGGAUAACUUCGGGAAACCGGAGCUAAUACCGGAUAACAUGUUGAACCGCAUGGUUCAACAGUGAAAGACGGUUUUGCUGUCACUUAUAGAUGGAUCCGCGUCGCAUUAGCUAGUUGGUAAGGUAACGGCUUACCAAGGCAACGAUGCGUAGCCGACCUGAGAGGGGGAUCGGCCACCCGGAAACUGAGAAACGGCCCAGACUCCUACGGGAGGCAGCAGUAGGGAAUUUUCCGAAAUGGGCGAAAGCCUGACGGAGCAACGCCGCGUGAGUGAAGAAGGCCUUCGGAUCGUAAAACUCUGUUAUUAGGGAAGAAAAAAUGUGUAAGUAACUAUGCACGUCUUGACGGUACCUAAUAAGAAAGCCACGGCUAACUACGU
rnacentral:rRNA from 1 species